GGGCCGGUGGCUCAGCUGGAAGAGCGUCCGCCUUGCAAGCGGAAGGUCCCGGGUUCAAAUCCCGGCCGGUCCA
rnacentral:tRNA from 1 species